UUCUCAGACAAAUCAAGGUCAUUCAACAGUUCUUACUUCAUGGGCGUAAGGAGACAAGAUACUUGUGUUCAGGAAGGUCAAUAUUUUGACUUAAGGUUAACCAUUGAGGAAUUUAAGCACUGCCUGCGAACGGUUACCUUAUGGAAACCUGGAAUGAGGAUCACAAUAAGUCACACAACACGCAGAAACGUCCCGGAUUUUGUCUUCCCUGGUGGGGUGCAGCCUAUAAAUAAGACCAAAAAGGUUUAUGGGCCUGCUAAUAGGAAGAAGAGAAAGCGUGAUGAAGGUAGUACCAGCUGUAAUUUGAGAAAAUCUGACUUUGCAACAAAAAGUAAAAAUGCAAAAUUGGUAGAAGAGGCUAUAGCAAGAGGGGGAUGUGAAGUUAAUGGAAAUGGCUCCUUGGAUAUUGAUCAUGGUGUUCCUGUAGAACAUCUCGAAGUUGUUAGUUCUUCUGCUGAAUGCCUGACCUCAAUGAGUGCUUCAUCUGGCUCAUCUGAAGCGGAGAAGAUUUUGCUUACUUGCCAGCAAGCUUCCUCUAAAGAAGUUGAGAAGGUAAACGAUGAUGCAGGAUCAAGGAUUCAAGUCCAGAAUUUUGCUACAAGCUGUACAGUGGAUUUGUCAGAGUCAUUGACUAGAACACAAAAAAGAACUGCAGAGAAAGGAGCCAGCCUAUGCUCUAAUAUUUUGAAGAACACAGAACCAGAGGAACUUGAGGUAUCAUCAACAAACUUUCUUACUGUUUUGACUUGAACACAACUAAUAUUCUGUUUAAAUAAUUUAACUCUUUAGCUACCUUUUGCUCAAAAUUUUAGUUCUACCAAAUAGGAAUAAGAAGAAAUUAGAAAUAAGAAAAAUUUUGGAAGAAGACCUCAAUGUUCAAUUCAAAUUUGGAGAAUUUAUAGUUUCUAUCCUAAAUCAGUUUGAAAAACUACAUAAAUGAGUUACAUUGUUGAAUUGUAAAAUUAUAUACGAAUAUGAUGAUCGAACUACAUGUCAUCUAUCAGUUUAGAGUCAAAUAAAUGAGUCAGAAAUCGUUGGUUUGUAAAUUAUAUAUGAAAAUUACGAUCAAACUGCAUGUUAAAUAAUCAAGUUUUGCGGAAUAUAAUAAUAGAAUGGGAAUAAACAAAGAUUGUCGAAAUCAGAUUUCAUGAAAAACUUUAAGGCUACUGGAUCUAAUUGGUCCUUUUUUCUUUUUUGCUGGUUGGAUACACAGUAAAACCAUUUUGUUUAGACACUCAGUUUUCAUUAUAUUAUCUCGUGAUUAAUUACUAUAGCUCCUCCCAAAAUCCGUAUAUGAUGACCCACAUCUGACUUCGUUUUUCUCUUUUCUGUUGGGAAAUAAAAACAGUCUACUCAACAACCGAAGUCUGCUGCAUGCGUAACUGCAAAAAAGCCUGUCAUCAGGUGAUUUUUCAUGCUUAUAUCGAUCGAAUUAGAUUCAAUUUUCUUGUAAAUAUAGAUAGUUGCGACAUUAUUUACACAUUAUUACCUAUGCAAAUGACAUUUCACUGCAAACUUUUCCUUUCAGGUUUAAUUUCACUUCUUUGGUGAGAGCUGCUUGAAAUGCAUUUUCCUCCAUCUGUUGGACUGACUGUACUAAGCUGAAAUUAGGUUAGAGCUUAGGACUUAACAAAGAACCUUUUUUCCUCCUGUCGGGCAGUUAUCAUAACUCAUGAAUAUGUAAAGAACGGUGUAUAUAAUUUUUUGCCAAUAUGUAAAAAAUUAUAUUUUCUUAAUCUUUCGUGCAGAGGAUAUAUAUACUUGUGCAAAUGCUUAUUAGCGAUAAUUCUAUUCCUAUUUUUUCAUAGCUAGUCGAUGCUGUAUAUUCUUAUUGAAGAAAAAAAAUAUUAGUUAGAUAAAUUUUGGAGAAUCUAUUAUAUUUAGAAUGUGAAAACGUAAUGCGUGAUGUAAAAAUAUAUUAUUUAAUUCGGUAACUUGUUUAUUGAAUAAUUUAAAUUUAAUGAGACAACAAAUUUAUAAAAUAAGUAAUUUAAGUCGUGAUUGUUUGAGAUCCAAACAUUUGAAUUUUAUUGUAGUCAUGACUUGUUUUUAUGGGAUGAAAGAGGAUUAUCUGAUCCAAAUUUAUAAUAUAAUUAAUUAAAUAUAAUAUUAUAUUUUAUAUUGAAAAUAUCUUUUACUAUUUAUAUUAAAAUAUCAGACUAAUUAUGAAAUUCCCUUGAACAUGAAACAUGAAAAAUCUCAUGGCUCCAAAAAUCAAUUCAAGUGGACGUAUUAAACGAGACAUAAAACGAUGUCGUUCUUUUAAGAUCGAUUCAGAUACGCAUGUUAAAAAACAAGAGACAAAACGAUGUCGUUUUCAGUCCCAUCGCAACAAGUGAAAACCACUGCCGUUUUGGAUCUGACAAAUGGCGGCUCAGACACGGGUCGUAUUUUAAACGCGGAUUUGAAAAGUAGAGAGUUGGCGGCGAACGGUGUCGUAUUAAAGACAGUUUCCUUGCAUGUAGUGAAACGGAGCGCCAAUAGUUAACAAGGAAAUACCAGGUGAUUUCCUAUAUAUAUUCGUCACCAUCAACUCACCGCUCGUUUCUUCUCUUUUUUCUAUUUCUUCUCUCCUAAGUUUCUUGAUUUUCUUGUAUUCUGGGUUCGAGCUCUGAACGGCGAUCGUUAAUUUCUAAGCCUUCCACUAAGAAAUUAACAAGGUCGAUUCUGUUGUUUUCGCGGUAUAAGUCCACUAGUUCUUUCGUCCACGAGGAAUAAGGAGAGGAGAUUUGCUUGUUUCGGUUUAUUCUUCCUGAUUCAUUGAGAAGCCGUCUGCAAGCACUUUGGCGCUAAAGUUUUAACCAGUUCAAGGUGAUUCUCAAUUCUUGCUUUAUGUUCGAUUCAAGGUGACUCGAGUCUAGGGUUUUGUUCCGUUCAAGGUGACUCUGGGGUUUUGUUGGAUUCAAGGUGACUCUCAAGAACAGGGUUUUGUUCAAUUCAAGUUUGCGUCGUGCGGUACAUAGAGGAAGAACGAGAUUUCUUGAAUUCUUUGUUGUAAAAUUUGGAAUUAUUCUUGCGAUAUUUGAGCUUUUGAUGUCUGUAUUUGGGAUACUGUUUUUCUUAUUGUAAUUUGGAGAUAUUUCAUUGUUCUUUUUAUCUGUUAUCCUGACUUAACAUAUUGAGAUCUCUCCUGAUUAUCAAAUACGAGAAAGAAUUGUCACAUUUUUAAAGAUUAAUAUAAAUAGAAGAAAAAAGUAAACGAAUUUUACCAAGAAACGGAAGAAAGAACGGCUUUCGCUGAAAAAAAAGAAGAAAUAUUUACCAAAAAAAAGAAAGAAAAGGUUUUUCCAAAGAAAAGAAAUUGACUAAAAAAAUAAGAAAUAACGGUAUUCAUUGUACUUACCUGAAUUGCGCUGAAGAAAAAUAUUAGUUUAAUAAUAUUUCUAGAAGGGAGAAGAUGGGUGUUUCUUCGGCCACCAAGGAAUCAAGGAUGGGACUGACGGAGCCAAUAUCUACUGCGGGUCCAACUGAGCUCGAUCGGACUAGAAAUUAUGAACUGGAAAAGGUCAGUCUCUCAUACAUGAUGAUCGUUUCAUAGUUAAUUUCGGUUCUGUGAAAGAUUUAGUAUGAAUAUUAAAGUGUUCCUGUCUAUGUUUAUGUUUGGUUCGGUAGAAAAUAUAGCAUUAUAUGGUAAACUCUGUGUUGAAUAUGGAUUGUAACAGACAGUUAUGAUAAGAUCUGGAUUGAGAAACUAUGGUGGGAAACAGGUGGAAAUUUGGAAGAGGAGAGGGUGGGAAGAUGUUUGUAGAAAGUUUCUAUAAAAAACAAUUUGUAGAAAGUUAAAAUCCUAGCAUAACACAAUAUAUAAAAUACCCUGUUUUAUAGAGGUACUUUAAUAUGAGUAAAAUAUGCUGGCUGAGAUGUGUAUGGAUAUGGGGCAUGUAAUGGGUAACCUGCAACAAUGACCCUCUCUAAUCUUGAAUUCUCAGGUCCAAAAAAUGAUUUUUUAAACAUCUAAGCUGUUUUAUAUGUUCAGUUUAUGUAUAAUUUUCAUGCAGCUAAAUGUGUUCUAUUUAUAUAAUUUAAUUUUACAUGAUCAGUUUCUGGAAAAUGUGGGAUCGUAUGAAAGUGUGGAAGAGACUGCUAGAAGGGAGGAGGUCAUGGGAAGGAUGAACCAGGUUUGUUUUUUGGUUCAUUUGUUGCAUUCUUUAAUCUUUUCUGUUUUUUUAUCAUGUCUAAUCUGUGAAAUUGACCAGAUUGUGAAAGAUUGGGUGAAAGAGAUCUGCAUCAACAAGGAAUUUAAUGAGCAGCUGGUUGAGGAAGCUAAUGCGAAGAUUUUUACCUUUGGCUCUUACCGAUUGGGAGUAUGUUUGAACUUCGAAUUCUGCUUAUGCAUUUGGUUUUGUUUUCAAAAGCUUCUUACCUAAUGAAUUUAUGUUUUGCAACAGGUUCAUGGUCCUGGGGCAGAUAUUGAUAUGCUAUGCAUAGGGCCCAGAUAUGUCACUCGAAAUGUAAGAUAUGAACAUUUACGUUCAUAAUUAUCUUGAUGAAAUUAGAUGUGUUAGCUAAUAAUAUCUUAUUUGCAUUUUUUGCAGGAAGAUUUUUUUGGCAAUCUAUAUGGGAUUCUUGCAAAAAUGCCUGAAGUAGAAGAAUUGCACCCUGUGCCUGAUGCUCAUGUUCCUGUAAUGAAUAUUAAGUUCAACGGCAUUUCUAUUGAUCUCCUUUAUGCAAAACUGGAGCUCUGGACUAUUCCUGAAGUGAGUAUUUGUUUAUGCAUUUAUUGCUGUAGCAAUUCCGUAACAAUAUUUAUAUGAGAUAUGGGUGGGUAGGAGAAAGGUCUCUUGUUUUAUAUUUGUAGACGUUAAAAUUUUAUAAUUUUUAUUGCUACAUAAUUUUAUCUUAUUAUUAUAUGAACUAAUUAAUNNNNNNNNNNNNNNNNNNNNNNNNNNNNNNNNNNNNNNNNNNNNNNNNNNNNNNNNNNNNNNNNNNNNNNNNNNNNNNNNNNNNNNNNNNNNNNNNNNNNNNNNNNNNNNNNNNNNNNNNNNNNNNNNNNNNNNNNNNNNNNNNNNNNNNNNNNNNNNNNNNNNNNNNNNNNNNNNNNNNNNNNNNNNNNNNNNNNNNNNNNNNNNNNNNNNNNNNNNNNNNNNNNNNNNNNNNNNNNNNNNNNNNNNNNNNNNNNNNNNNNNNNNNNNNNNNNNNNNNNNNNNNNNGGUGGAUCCAUAUUUGGAUGAGCUACAAACUCUCUGAGUAUUUGAUCAAAAAUAGUUUAUUUUCAUUUGACUGCUUUUGUUUUCAGUGCUUCUCUAAACAAGUCCCUGUCAACUUAGUUAUGAUUAUCCUGUCUGGGGGUCACUUUACUUUUCUAUUCUUCUGUUAUCUAAUAUAAAUCAGUUGGUUUCUUUCAUUAUUUGACUUCUGCUGAAUUUAAAUACAUGUCCUCUUUCGUAAACUUCUUACUAGUUUGAUAAUUUAGAUCAUGAAUCAUUUUGUACAUUACUGUUGCAGGACUUGGAUAUUUCUUAUGAUUCAAUACUACGAAAUGUGGAUGAGCAGACAAUACGCAGCCUUAAUGGAUGCAGGGUCACUGACCAGAUUUUGCGAUUGGUUCCAAACAUUCAGGUAGAGCUGUUGCAAAACAGGCAUGGGUAGCAUACAUAAAUUUGUUAUUUCCUGAUAUGCAAUCAAGGUUUAUAGGGUUUACUUAUUUGUCUUUUGAUGUUGUUCCAUCCAGAAUUUCCGUACUACCUUGAGAUGUGUGAAGUUUUGGGCAAAGCAGCGUGGAAUUUAUUCUAAUGUAAGGAAAUUUAAUCAUAUGGUUAAGAUUUUAGCUUGAUCUUAUUUUUCCCCCCUUUUGGGGUUCUUAGUUAGAUGUUUGCACUCACUUUUAUAAGUAUCCAUCAGGUCAUAGGAUUUCUUGGUGGAAUAAAUUGGGCAUUGCUAGUUGCUCGUGUCUGCCAACUCUACCCAAAUGCACUUCCCAGUGUUUUGAUUUCCAAGUUCUUCAAAGUCUUCUCACAAUGGCGGUGGCCUAAUCCAGUCAUGCUGUGCCCUAUACAAGAAGGAAGCCUCAGUCAUAAAGUUUGGGAUCCAACAAGAAAUCUCCAGGACAGGAAACAUUUAAUGCCGAUAAUAACUCCUGCGUAUCCAUGCAUGAACUCGAGUUACAAUGUAUCAUCAAGCACGUUUGGCAUCAUGCAAAAAGAAUUUCAGAGGGGCAAUGAAAUUUGUGAGGUAUGGUUUUCCUAUGGUAUGUUACAAUAUUAUGGAAUCCUAGACUAUACUGUUUUUGUUGUCUGUGUUAAACAUGAGCUGUUUGUUUUCAUUUUGCUUCUGCUACUCAAUAUAAUUUUAUAUUUUUACCAUUUCUGCACCUUUCAGUUCCAUUUAGUUGUAAUACUCUUCAUGUCUGAACAUAUUGUUGCUUAUAAUUUAUAUCAUUCAGUCUUUUAGCAAGACUUGUUAACCUCCUAUUUGUACAAUAAUCAUAGGCUCUGGCAGCAAAGGAAACUUGUUGGACUACUCUCUUUGAGCCUUUCCCUUUUUUUGAAGCAUUCAAGAAUUAUCUGCAUAUAGACGUGACUGCCAGGAACGAUGAUGACUUAAAGAUCUGGAAAGGCUGGGUUGAAUCUCGGCUUCGUUUAUUAAUUCUAAAGGUGGAAAAUUUCUCUUGCUUCUUUCUGUUAGGCUGUUCAAACCUUUAUAUUAUCUCUCACUGUUAUGUAUAAUUUUUAAUCUAGAUUGAGAGGAACACAUGUGCAACGCUUCAAUGCUGUCCUCACCCGGGCAACUUCUCAGACAAAUCAAGGUCAUUCAACAGUUCUUACUUCAUGGGUAUAAGGAGACAAGAAACUUCUGUUCAGGAAGGUCAAUAUUUUGACUUAAGGUUAACCAUUGAGGAAUUUAAGCACUGUCUGCGAACUUUUACCUUAUGGAAACCUGGAAUGGGGAUCACAAUAAGUCACACAACACGCAGAAACAUCCCUGAUUUUGUCUUCCCUGGUGGGGUGCAGCCAAUAAAUAAGACCAAAAAGGUUUAUGGGGCUGCUAAUGGGAAGAAAAGAAAGCGUGAUGAAGGUAGUACCAGC
rnacentral:lncRNA from 1 species